rnacentral:rRNA from 1 species
CUCGUAGGCGGCCAACUAAGUCGGAUGUGAAAUCCCCAGGCUUAACCUGGGAACUGCAUCCGAUACUGGAUGGCUUGAAUCCGGGAGAGGGAUGCAGAAUUCCAGGUGUAGCGGUGAAAUGCGUAGAUAUCUGGAGGAAUACCGGUGGCGAAGGCGGCAUCCUGGACCGGCAUUGACGCUGAGGAGCGAAAGCUAGGGGAGCAAACG